UCAUGAAUUGCUUGUUCAUACACUUUGACUGUUUCAGGGUAAUGUCUGAAUUUGCUGUUAGAAAUAAAAUGCAGAACCGGGACCUGAAGCAUAAAUAAUAAUAAAUAAAUAAAUCCAGGGAUUCUUCACUACCAUGCCCAGCAACACAACAGCAAGACACACGUGUGUGUGUGUGUGUGUGUGAGAGAGAGAGAGAGAGAGAGAGAGAGAGUGUCAGUCAGUCAUGCCAAGUUUCCCUAUCCCAAUUUGGUGCACUUCUCCCCAGUGUACACUUAUACAGUGCAAAGGUCUGUAGAGAGGGAUCAUUUCACAACUAGGGUGGUAUGUGCAAAUGCUUCCAUGGAAUUUGGAAUGCUGGUUGUUCAGGCUUCCAAAUUCCGGGGAGUUUUUGUGCACAGAAGUAUACACGCAAAAAAACAAUAACCCCUUCCCAGGGCAAUUUCCACUGUAUGUACAGAUGUGGAGGAGGACCUAGAUAAGAGUGUAUGACACUGGAGGCAGGACUACUAGGUGUAUCCUCACUUCUUGUUCCUUUAGGGUGAAGGGCAAGAAAUAAAUAAUAAACUUACUGAAAACAAGAGUGAAAAAGUCUUGCAUAGGGCUAAUGUAGAGCAGCAAGUUAAACAACCCUCUGCAUUCUACCUGCUUCCCAUCUGCUGCGGCCCUGCUUUUAGGUCCUUCCCCUCCCCUACAAAGACGUUUUGUGCCUUUUGUAAAAUGGGGGGGCUCCUCUGAGCAGGUGGGCACCUCUGUAUUGUUUCUCCGUGGCCCUGUUGUGUCUGCAGUCCUGUUGGCACUCGCCAGCUGAGUGUGCUUUUAGGUGGAGGGUUGAUUGUUCAGGACAGCUGUGUGUCUGCAUUCUGGAGCCAGUGCAGCUCCCCUUAUGCAACAGGCUUUGAGUAACAGCACUGUCUGCCAUGGCAUUACUUGUUUAUAAGAAAAGGUUGUCUGAUUAUUCCCCCAGAUAGUGCUGUUACCUCCCUUUACAGGAGUAUGAAAGGAUUUGUUCCCACUUCUACUACUAUCUGACUGGGCUUUAAUGUUCUUGAUUACCAGUGACCCAAAAAGUCUGCUGAGCAUCCCUUUUAUGGAGUGUGUGCCGGCAAAGCUUGAAGUCUUUCCUUCCCUCUAGGCUUCACUCUGUUAUUGUGUCUAGUCUGUCAGCUGAAAUGCCGUAUUUCGUUCAUUGUGCUUUGCAGGGAAAUGCUUGAUCUAAUAAUGUUUUGAAUAUUUUAGAAAGGUUUCGAUAUCAGAAAACCCAGGAAUAUUUGAAAAGGUUGGAAGCUUUGCAGUGCAUGUUUUUCAUCAUUCAGAUCUUCUAGUUCUGAUUUUCCUCUUAAACUAGUUUCUUGCUCCCCCCCUCCUGAUACAAUCCAUGAACUGUACACACACACACACACACACACACACACACACACACACACAGUAUUGUAUGAAGGUGCUUGAAAGAUAUACCAUUGGAAAGAGAAAAUAGUUAACUGUCUGGAUCCAUUUUUCCACUCAGUGCUUUGCACAUGGUUGCUCUGGAGCAGUUUCCCCCAUCCCAGGUCCCCGGUUGUUAGAAUCCUAGAAUUGCAGAGUUGGAAGGGACCCAGAGGGUCAUCCAGUCCACCCCUGCAAUGUUGUUGGCCUACAAUCCCCUCCUCCCAUUAUCUCCAACUACCAUGGUGAGAAGUCCAGGAGUUAUAGAGUGCAAUGACAUCUGUUGACCAAGGGUUGGAGAAGGCUGCUCUAGAAUCAUCUGUUUCAGACUGAAUGGCUUCCAUAUGCCUGUCUCUUCCUCAGGAAUCCCAUGGGCCUGCCAUUCUGAAGAAGCUGAGCCUUCAAAGCAUGGAUUUGGGAGUUUGGAUUCACAGUAGGGGGAUGGGACAUCCUUCAGCUCCUUCUCUUCCCUCAGAUGUGCUCACAAACCUGCCAUGAGCUCCCCCCUGGUUACAAAUAUUGAUGUAAGGCAGAGAAGGCGGCCGGAUGAAGCCCAAGGGCCCAGCCUCAUCCGGCCUUCAGCAGAGCCCCCAAAACUUCUGCUUUCUCACACACCUCAGUAGCUUUCUCACAAGCUAAGUCAUAGGCAAAGGCUUAUUAUUAUUCCUAUCUGGCUUCCAGCAUCUUCUGAAAGAAGGUAAUCAUGCUUAGCAUAUUUUCAGAUUAAAGUAAUGGGCACUUUUCACUCUACAUGUCUUCCCUACAUUCCCUACAGCAUGGCUUUCUGAUAUGGCUACGGUAAUAUUGUCAAUAUCUAAAUCAGGUGUGGAGGACAUUUUGCCCUCCAGAUGUUUCUAAACUGCAACUCCCAUCAGUCUCAGCAAGCAUGGCCAAGGAUGAUAGGAGUUGCGAUUCUGCAACAUCUGGAGGGCCAAAGGUACCCCCACAUCUGAUCUAAACUAUACAAAAAUCCACAGGCCUUUUAAUAUGUAGUUCAAUUCAGGCAACCCUUCGAAUGGGGUUAAAAGCAGUGGGCAAUUUCUUUCUAAAUCAAACAAACUUUUUAAAAUAGAAAAGUUAUUCGUUUCAUCAGAGGUGAAAUGAGGAACCAUUUCAGUGAACUUCUUUAGGAUUUUAGAAUUUAUGAUAGAAAGCUGGACAUCAGAUGUGCUGCUCUUUGUCAGUUGGAAUCAGUAAGCAAUCUUGUUUUUGUUCUGCUGAAUAACUUAAUUCAAUAUCAUUUCAAGCAACUGUGGUUCUUCCCAAUAACUUUCCUGUUGUUUUUAACUGAAGGGAACAUUGUGCUGCUUCAGGAAGAUAAGGCUGACAAGAAGAACGAGAAACUAUUUACUGAGAAUUAUCACCUGUUUUUUUUUCUAGUUAUAAAACUGCAGAGAAUAGUUUCAUUGACUUCUUAUGUUUGGGAACUGCUCAGUAGUUAACAAGGUGUUAAUAAUGUGUUUGUUCAGUCCCUUCUGGACAACCUGGACCAUAGAAACAAAAGUUCUCUUAUUUUAUUUGUUUGUUUUAAAUGUCAUGGUUUGGAGAAGGCUAAAAUUCUAUCCUAUCAGUCAAUCAACCACAAUAUUUAUCUGGAUUAGUCAACAUUCACCAGCUUUCAAAAAGGAUGUUAAAUUUAACACCUGAUAAAUACCUUAAUCCUAAAUGCAUUUGUUUGGAAGCAGGUCCCAUUGACUUCCUUGGAUAUUCAUUUUCAGUAAGGACAGUUCCACUGUGGGAAACAUUGAUGUUUCUGGUAGAAAAUACAUAAAAUGUGGGCAUCAUACAGGAAUCUGGAUAACACUGGACAUCCGUGUACCCCAUUAACCCUUUACAUGCUUGCUGCCUUCAGUGGUGAAAAGUAGAAUUUCUGCUGAAACUGCCCAGAUAAAAGUUCC
rnacentral:lncRNA from 1 species